rnacentral:rRNA from 1 species
AUUGAACGCCGGCGGCAGGCUUAACACAUGCAAGUCGAGCGGAGAGAGGUAGCUUGCUACUGAUCUUAGCGGCGGACGGGUGAGUAAUGCUUAGGAAUCUGCCUAUUAGUGGGGGACAACAUUUCGAAAGGAAUGCUAAUACCGCAUACGUCCUACGGGAGAAAGCAGGGGAUCUUCGGACCUUGCGCUAAUAGAUGAGCCUAAGUCGGAUUAGCUAGUUGGUGGGGUAAAGGCCUACCAAGGCGACGAUCUGUAGCGGGUCUGAGAGGAUGAGCCGCCACACUGGGACUGAGACACGGCCCAGACUCCUACGGGAGGCAGCAGUGGGGAAUAUUGGACAAUGGGCGGAAGCCUGAUCCAGCCAUGCCGCGUGUGUGAAGAAGGCCUUAUGGUUGUAAAGCACUUUAAGCGAGGAGGAGGCUACUUUAGUUAAUACCUAGGGAUAGUGGACGUUACUCGCAGAAUAAGCACCGGCUAACUCUGUGCCAGCCGCCGCCGUAACAC